UGGGGAAUUUUGCACAAUGGGGGAAACCCUGAUGCAGCGACGCCGCGUGAUUUAGAAGGCCUUCGGGUUGUAAAAAUCUUUUCUAUGGGAAGAAAAUGACAGUACCAUAAGAAUAAGGACCGGCUAAUUACGUGCCAGCAGCCGCGGUAAUACGUAAGGUCCGAGCGUUGUCCGGAAUCAUUGGGCGUAAAGGGUACGUAGGCGGGUAAGCAAGUUAGAAGUGAAAUCCUAUAGCUCAACUAUAGUAAGCUUUUAAAACUGCUCAUCUUGAGGUAUGGAAGGGAAAGUGGAAUUCCUAGUGUAGCGGUGAAAUGCGCAGAUAUUAGGAGGAAUACCGGUGGCGAAGGCGACUUUCUGGCUAUAACCUGACGCUGAGGUACGAAAGCGUGGGUAGCAAACAGG
rnacentral:rRNA from 1 species